UUAGGACUAGAGUGGUUUUGCUUUUCCUGCUUGUGGUGAGAACUCUGCAACACUUACUUAGGGUGCAAGUUCCUAUUUCUGUAC